UACGGACUGUGCAAACGUUAUUCGGAAUCACUGGGCUUAAAGAGUCCGUAGGCGGCAUGUUAGGUGAGGUGUGAAAUCCCCCGGCUCAACCGAGGAAUUGCGCUUCAUGCCGGCGUGCUUGAGGGAGAUAGAGGUGGGCGGAACUGAUGGUGGAGCGGUGAAAUGCGUUGAUAUCCUAAGGAACACCGGUGGCGAAAGCGGCUUACUGGAUCUCUUCUGACGCUGAGGCACGAAAGCUAGGGUAGCGAACGGG
rnacentral:rRNA from 1 species